rnacentral:rRNA from 1 species
ACGGAAGGCAGCAGUGAGGAAUAUUGGUCAAUGGACGGAAGUCUGAACUAGCCAUGCCGCGUGCAGGAAUAAGGCCCUGUGGGUCGUAAACUGCUUUUGUGGUGGAGCAAUAAGGGCUACGCGUAGCCCGAUGAGAGUACAUCACGAAUAAGCAUCGGCUAACUCCGUGCCAGCAGCCGCGGUAAUACGGAGGAUGCAAGCGUUAUCCGGAUUUAUUGGGUUUAAAGGGUGCGUAGGCUGUGCUGCAAGUCAGGGGUGAAAUACCCGAGCUUAACUCGGGAACUGCCUUUGAUACUGCAGUGCUUGAAUACUGUUGCCGUGGGAGGAAUGAGUAGUGUAGCGGUGAAAUGCAUAGAUAUUACUCAGAACACCGAUUGCGAAGGCAUCUCACGAAGCAGUCAUUGACGCUGAGGCACGAAAGCGUGGGGAUCAAACAGGAUUAGAUACCCUGGUA